rnacentral:lncRNA from 1 species
UGGCGGCGGCGAAGGUAGUAGGCUUCCAUGGCCAUGGAGAUUGGAGUGCCUUAAGGGGAACCCUGGUGGAUGGUUGGGUCGCCGGAGCACGCGAGGAUAGAGGGCUGCGGCUGCUGAGAUGGGAAACGGCGGCAGUGGCGGAGGCGAGGAAGGGCGGCGGCGACGGAGAAGUGGCGACGGAGGCAGGGGAAUCCGAUCGGGAUCGGGACUGUCAGGCGCAUAAACCGGUUCUUUUGUUGUUCGGUUUUCUCAUCGCGGGACGCGGGAGCGCGCGCGACUGGUUUUCUUUACGCGGGUGAGGCGGACGACGUAGAUGGACUGAAGUAACUGUGUGAAUUAAGAAGCAGCAAAGAUUAGUGUCUCUGUUGUUCUGAAGCCUGGGUUUAACGUGUUUUGCGAGGCAAAGGGAUUCCCAAAGCAAAUGGAGCACUCUGGAUACCAUCAUGCAUGCAUGACAGCAUGAGUCAAAUUUUGGACUCAAGAUAAUACUCUCUCCGUCCAAUAAAAAUGUUUCAAGUUUGUCAAAAUUUGGAUGUACCUAAACAUGAUUUUGUGUAUAGAUGCAUUCAAAUUUAAUCAAAAUUAAGACAUCCUUUGUUAGACAAGACGAAUAGUUUUUUUAGCAAAUCUGUUAUUUUCAAUGUUUCGUCCCGGGGUCCCAAAUUUCGGGAGACCGUGUUAAGGUUUUAAAUUCGUGUCCCCUUUCGAUAGGAAAAACUAUCGUGUGCAUUUCCAAUCGACUGUACUUCGUUUUCACACUACACAGCUAUCAAAUUGCAAGUUUAAAUGGUCAUAGAAUGCACGGAUACAAUACACUACUCCACCACACACUUCAUAUGCCAUCGUCCUACGAUGCUUCAUCCUUGAUCAGUUGAUCUCAUACGACGGGCAAUGGUUUCGAUGGAAAUCUUUCAUUGGCCAUGUGCGUUCUCGUUUGGAUUCAAGGCAAGGAAAUCCACACGCACGAAAUCCCCAAGACCACCAAAGAUGAUUUUAGGGUUCACCAGGAUCACCUCCAAAAACAGUAAAAACCACAGGUAAAUACAAAAAAUCAUAGUAUUGUACUAAAAAACAAAAGGAAAUCACAAAUAUUCCAAAGGAUAAUAAAUUUAUGCCCGUCCAAUGACUCCAGAAACAAUGUUUUGUUGCCUCACAAUGAACAUUGAAAUACCCACUAUAGCAUUUCUGUCAUUUCCUAACAAUGAACAUGGUUCGCAACACCUCCAGAGAACUUGGUCUGCAUAAAACUUAACUCAAAAGAUGCUAAGCCAAUUGAUUUAACCGAUGCACUUUAUCCUUGGACAAUACUUCGACAUAAACCUCUUCUUUAUCCUUACCUGGAAAACAGAAGUGGAGGACGUUAAUUGGGCUAAAAAGGAAUAAAUAUGACUUACAAUUCAAUUCUUACAAUCUGAUAGUAAAAUAUAACAGGUCGGACAAGAGCUAUGUCACAAGUAUGUUUAGCUAAUUAUCUGGCUCAUCAGGACACUGUCUACGGUUUCGUUAAUGAAGCUGGGAUGACAAAAACCCGUUUGCUUCAGCUCAACUGAUGUCUAACAGCGUUCAAACUUGUACAAGCAUAAGUACGAGACAACAAAAUCUGCUAGUUAGGAAAGCACAGCAAGAAGUGAACUCUCAUAACCAUAGCGUGGCAUUUGUACUGACAGAAUCAAACGCUAGCUAAAUACCCUGAUAAAUUGCAAGAAAGUGCAAUAAGGCCCACCUUUAACAGAACAAAAUCUGAUUGACAAAUAAUUGAAUCUAAUGGAGUAGCUGACUGUAAUUGCCGAAUACUAAAUGCUUAAAAGACUGGCAUUUUGAUCCCAAGUUAACUGACAGAGGAGUUAAAAAAUGGUGCCGGUUUGAUCAUCAAGCAAACUUGAACAUACAUAUACACUUGGCUAUUUAAAUCUGGACCAUUCCACAAUUUGCAAUUGAAAACUUAUUGUGUACUACAAAUUUGGAGCUUCGUGUUAAGAAAAAUCAUUGUGCCGAUAAAUUAUCACAAGGACAAAAGAAAAUUGUUGGCUCCGCGCGCCGACCAAACCAAAACUUCAACUUCAGAGUAAGGCAUGCAUGAUAACUCAUGAAAAGAGAGAGCAUCUAAUCAUAUAUUUUACUACGCAGAUUAUUGUAAAGUCGUAUUAGGCUUGUAUAGAAGCAGAAAAAUGACAAAGCUACCCCCCACAGAAUGAACUCGUCAAUUCACAUAAAUUACAAAUGGUGAAAACCAAGACAUAUCAAUUCUACAAAGGCGGAUAUUGACUUCAUUUCACCUAAAGAGAUGACAUUAAUCAAAUGCUCAAGCUUUAAACAAAACAUGUGUAUGCAUCCUUGAAAGGCUUAAAAACCUGAAACAGCCCACCGCAGAACCUGUAGUUUGGUAGCAGAAACAUACCUCGUCUCUGGCUGCUGAGAAUUGAGAUGUCCCUCAAGAGGUACUGCUUCCCCUACUGCUUCCACGCUCCUCCUCAGCACAAUUUGUUACAGGCAAUCUGUGAGAAUCCAUAGAACUAGAGAGAGUGAGAGAUGAAACUAAUUCGUCCCUCGACCUGCAGGAAGUCAGAGGAGGACGAGAUGUUGCUGGAUUAAUGCAUAAGAUCAGCCGCUGGACGACAAGCGGACCGUAGAAAUCUAUUCUCAGGAAUAUUCAUGCAUAAUGAAGCAUUUCUGCUACAAGCAUACUACGAGAGUUUUGGAUAUGCUAGAAAUAUAUCACCUCGGCGGAGGCGUAGAAGGCCAGGAAGGCUGCUGUUCAAAAACGUCUCAUCCUCAUCCUCCACCCCGAGUUCUGCCAGCGUCAUUUCAGGAUGAGGAAACCUGUUUUGAUAUACAAAAACUAGCUCAUGGUAUCGAGCAGUGGGUACCAUGGCAUAGUAGUAAUUCAUCAAGCUCUGAAUCUUGUCAGUCCUCCGCAUGGUGCGGGUGAACUGACGCCGUUUAAAGUCGACGAUCACGGCGGUGACGAACACGCGAGGCGAGAUCUCAGGGAGGAACCGGAUCUCGUCGCCGUCCUUCAGAUUGUAAUCUGCCGGCAUCUUGUUGUAGUAGAGCAGCCUGUCGUUGCCGCGGUGGACGAAUAAGCCAUCCCCAUCCUCGACGGUGGGCACCAUGUCGUAGUAGAAGCGCAUCAGGUCCUGAAGCUUGUUGGUGCUUCGCAUGGUGCGGCUCAGCCUGCGCCCUUCCUGGUCCGUCACAACGGGGGUGACGAACUGCUCCAUCGCUGGCUCGGCGUCCUUCCCCUUCAUCUUCUUCCCUGCCGGAGCCGACAUCGUCAGCCGAUACGGACGUCGGUUUCCGGCACCUAAUGCCUAGCUGUGGUUGCGGUGCUUGUGUUGUCUUUGUUGGGUUGCGUGGGAGCGGCGGCGCCCGGAGAGUAUCUAUAUCUACCUAUUAAAUUUGCAGCUGGUGUCCACUGCCCAGCUGUGGUUGCGGUGCUUGUGUUGUUGUCUUUGCUGGAUUGCGUGGGACAGGCGGCGCCCGGAGAGUAUCUAUAUCUGUCUACCUAUUAAAUUCACAGCUGGUGUCUUUGCUGGAUUGCUGGAUUGCUUGUGUUGUUGUCUUUGCUGGAUUGCGUGGGAGGAGCGGCGCCCGGACUGUAUCACCACUGCACAAUGGGCUUGGCCUAAGAUCACAUCGAGCCAGCCAACACCCCAACACGCGCGAAAUUAGUGGGCCUAACUCGAAGUCAGCAAUGAGCUAAGCAACCCCUAGCUCAGCAACAACACUUUUGACAACCAGGGGUUUAAGUGUUUAUCGCUCGAGGAGAUAGAUCAUGGAUUCAGGAUCCUAGUCAGUUGUUCUCUAGACCACAUGAGACUCGAGUACACGACAAUGGAUCACGUCAUGUGAAAUCUCAGAGGAUAGAGAUGCCAGACGCCCUAACCGUCGUGAAUUCCGAAAUUCUAGGCCAAUCGCCGCUAGCCGCAAUCUUGAUUGAUUGCCACCAGACGGCAAAUGUGAGAUUAGCAAUUAACUAGGUAUGUGAAAUUGCUUUAAGAGGAUAAUUGUCGGUCUAACUAACGUUUUCUUAAAUAUAUAUAGAUAAAUUUGUGAAAACUCUAGAAAUGCAGACACUUAGCUAGUGUGUAUAUAUAUACUAGACCAUAAUAGCGCAUGUUGCCAUGCCCAUCGAUUUGCCGAUAAAAUGGUAGGAAUUUCAAUAAGUAUAAGGAGACAUGAUAACUUGCUUAGUAUAGUUGGACAUUUCAUAAAAUAUGAAAAUUUUGAGUUACAAAGCAUUCACUCCCUCCGAUCCAUAAUAAGUGUAUGAGAUUUACUACAAAAUUGUACUAACUUUGUACUAAUUCCCAGACACUUAUUAUGGAUCGGAGUGAUUAUAUCUUUUCUUUGUGAUGUGAAUAUUGCUAUAUAUAAAUGUUUCCUUCUACAUUUGAACAUUCCAAUGUUAACUUUCUCUGAUAUAUCGACCAAAAUUCCAAUGAUAACUUUCUUAGAGUAAUACCUAUCAGCUUCCGCUAACAUAUGCUGCAAGUUAUAGCCUAGUAUCAUUAGAGCUUGGCAAUUUGUGGCCAACCACUUUGCUAGCCAGCAUCAUCAUUGCCGGCAUACAUGGAAUGGUCUGGACGUGAUCUUUAAAUUUUGAUCUGAAAUGAUAAAAAAAAUUCAUAAACUUCGUAUUCUCAACAUAUCAUGUUUCCUAAUAAGUAACAUAAGAAUCAGUCUAAUGCUGAGUGUACAAAAUAAAUAUCUUGCAACUAAACUGAUGCCUUAACUCACAUAAAGAAACUUGAAAGGUAUCUCAAGUCUAUUUCAUAUAUGUAAGCAAGGAGCAUCAUAGUAGAUCUAGCCGACUGGGCAAUCUAAAAUAAUAAAACAGGGAAGUACAAAAACCGGCCAAAAAUAGAAAACUAAAAACAUGAUGAACACUUCAUACAUAGCAAUCUCAUUUCUUUAAGUGUGGCUACUAACAGGUUACAAAUAGAUAAAGAAGGCUGAACGAGUGUGUCUCAUUAUAGCUUGCAAUGAUAUUGUCGCUCUGAAAUUUUUAUGCUUUCAUAUGCAAUACUACAGAAAUAGAGCUUAUUGGGGAAAUUGCUUGCAUGCUUUCCUAAAAUAAACAGCCAAAACAUCAAUAGACUAUAAUCAGAAAACAAAGCAGAAAAAAUCCUAUAAAAGCAAACUGAGAUGAAGCAAUAGAAACAAGAAUUGCAUACUGCUUGUAAACUACCCUCAGAUUUUAGUUUAGAUAUGUUAUUCAUUUCUCUUAGCAAAGAGAGUGUUUGAAUCAGACCAUCAAUUCGCAUGGAGUAUAAAGACAACUACUUCUUAUUCAAACUUUAACAGUUAUGCACCACUACCAUCUAAUAUUUUCAGGUAGCCCACCUUGAUUAUGUAUACCACACACAACACAUGCAAAUAUUGUUGUACCCUAGCUAAAAACAUUGAUUGUGACCAGUUGUAGAAUACAAGUAUAAAGUGUCGGUGUACUUCUAUCUAGCUAAUGCACGAACAUAAGUGCAGAGCAAAUAAAUACAUCACCGAGUUUAUCCAAAUUAUUUACAAAAUAUUUAGCUCAAUUUUCUGUCACAAUACACAUAACUCAAAACGAGACCACACAUUGGUGCUAAAUAAUUAGGUUCCUUGUUCUUCAUGUCUUUCCACUUAUACUAAGUGUGAAGAACUCCUUUACGAGCAUUUUAUAUGCAAGUUAUGCAUUGCAGCCUAAAGAAAUUUAGGGUUAAUAUGGAUUAUUAUGUAACCAUGAGCACUGGACCUAGUCUAAUUGAUUAUAUUUUUCAAAAUUAUAAAUCACAUUGUUAAUUAUAAAUUCACCUGUGAGUGCUAUCUAAAUCAGUUUCUCAAGCCUAAAGAAAUAUAUAUUUCAAUAGUCAUGUGUGAAGAAGAUCCUUACCAUCGUAUUCAAUUCAGAUAUACUCCCAGUUAUCCAAGUUGCUCAAAAGGGCUCUCGAGGAAACAUAUCCUGGAAACAAUGGACACAUAAUAAUUUCUUCUUUGCAAUAUCUGCACAAACAAUAGAUAAGCCAUUUGAUCAGAUAGGAAAUGAAUUGAGAGUGUGCACUAAAAACUAGAACAUCAUGUGUUAACUGUAUCUGAUUUCACACCUGAAGGCCAUUUCUCAGCGUAGAACCCGUUUUCCUAAGGCAUGAACUUCACCAGUUCAAUUGGUUUUGAAGAAAUAGAUCAGUUACUGGAACAAGCUAAGCAAAUCAAAAUCUUUGCAUGCGCACCUAGCAAGUAUCAAAAAGGUGCUAAGAUAAAGAUUUGAACACCCAAUCCUUGCAAAUGGACGGUGUUAAGAUAAAUACAUGGACAUCUAAAACUCGCAAAUGGAAUGUCAUCAUACUUCUUGCGUUUCGAUUUUCUGAUCCAGCCCUUUCAACUUAGUGACAUGCAUGCCUCCUUUCUUCCUUUGUGCCUUCUUAUCUGCAUCCACAAUGCCCUUCUUCUCCUUUUUGCGCUGCCAGCAAGUAGACAACACAAAUUUGAAUCUAAAUUUUGAUUCAGGAACAACCAUUUCUAAUUUUUUUGGGAAGACAACCAGUUUGAUGUCAAUAGCCAGCAAAUCCUGACUACGCAAAUGAACUAUCGAAAUAGAACCAUAAGCAUCAAGAAAUUGAAAGAAGAAAGAUAAGGCGAGAAUAAAUUAAUCUAAUACCUUGCAGUGUGGCAAUGAAGUCCCUUGAUGUCCUACAGUCCUGGUCUCCUGGGCGUAGGAUCCUCCAGACCAGCCUUCUACAGGACGUAAUCCACAUUUAUCUGAAAAAGCCCAAACACAACAAGAAGAAUCGAGUAAAGGCAGAGGGAGUUCACCUUGGAUGGAGUUUCCUCGCCAUCUUCUCCCCGGCAAACUCAUAUGCGGCUCCCCUCAGUGACCUUGUUCUUGACCUCUGUAGCGGGCAGAUGGCGAUGCAGUGUGUUUUCAGGGAGUUGGAGAGAGCAACGGGAUCAGAGGAGAUUGGUGUGAUGGGGAGAAUGUGCAAGAGAAGCAGGAGACCUACCGCUAAGAGGCGGUGGUGGCGGCGCACAUAAGCUCUCCCAAGGUUGAUCGAGAUCACGAGAGAGGAGAGAUGUUAGGACUGAGCGAGCAUGGUGGGGGUGCAGGGGAUCGAUGCGAUCAUGCGAGGGACGGCGAGGGCGGCGGCGACACACCUAGGGUUCGUCCUGUCGCGGGAGGAGGCAGAUCGGGGAAACGAUGCCGCCUGACGAUAUACCCAGAUCUGGUUAUCAAGGAGGCGGCGGAUGGGUCGAGGAGGUUGAAGGGCACUGGUGCCGUAGUGCGACGAGACCAAUGGGAGAGGCCUCGAGGGCCGAUGAGAGGAGGAGGCAUACGGCCGUCGGAGCAGGCAGGGCUGCGUCGGGAGGAAGCGGCGGUGGCGAGCUGGCGACAUACCAAUUUCCUUACUGCGACUGCUGAACAUUAUGAAUUCAAGUUUUUUUUUUACGAAAACCAUCAGCUGUUAAAUAUGAAUUGAAGUUCAAUUCAUAGAUAAUAGAACACGUUCGAAACUUCGAAUUUCAUUGACUUUCACAGUUUUCCCUAAACCGUUCUUCCUCUCGAGUACUGUGGCGUACUCGUUUUAUUCUUCAUAUUUUGGGUAUCUCAACAGAUUUCAGUUAUGACAUGUUCUAUACAUCCAUUGUUUUUUCUUCAUAUUUUGGGUGAGUCAACGGAUUAAAGUUCUUGGAAGAGAAGUUUCAUUGAAAUCGAUGAAAAAAGACGAGUAAAUUUUAUAUGAUGACACAAAUCAUAGUGGACAAAGUCAUUCAAGAUGGAUAUUUUUAAACAAAGUAGAGGAGAUAUUUUAGUACUAUAGCAUACUCUCUUAUUUCAGAAGCCUCAUAACACAGUCAACUUGCAAACUGCAACCGGCCGGUGACAUCAAGGGUCAAUUAGAAAUCUAUGAACAACCUAUGACCGGGAGAAGAAAUCUAUGAAGAGCCUAUGACAUCGUAUAUUCAUAACCAUUCUGACGUUGAUCACGUCCUCAUCCUUCAACAUCAAGUUCUCUGGUGUCUAAUCUCCUCUAAACCAUCUCCCCCGCGGUGGGCACCGCACACUCACACGGCGCCUUAAGAAAAUCAUAGUCGUGGAUUACAAAAUGUAGUAUUGUAGAAGAAAUCACAAAUAAUUCCAAAGGAUAAUAAAUUUAUGCCCAUGCAACUGACUCCAAACAAUGAUUUGUUGCCUCGCAAUGAACAUUGAAAUACACCCACUAGCAUUUCUGUCAUUUCCUAACAAUGAACUUGGUUCGGAACACCGCGAGAGAACUUGUACACAUAACUUAACUCUAACUUAAACUCAAAGGAUGCAAAGCCAAUUGAUUCAACGGAUGCAUGUUAUCCUUGGACAAUCUUGAACAUAAACCUCUCUUCUGUAUCCUUGGCUGGAAAACAAAAGUGGAAGACAUUAAUUAGGCUAAAAAGGAAUAAGUAUUCUUUUUUUGCGAGGAAAAAGGAAUAAGUAUUCGUUGAUACAACCCAAUUCAGCUGCAAGCUUAUAGUGAAAUAUAACAGGGAGGACAACAGAUAUGUCACAAGUAUGUUUAGCUAAUUAGCUGGCUCAUCAGGAACGUGCACAUCAAAUUAAAUAACCAAUAUUGCACAUUCUUGAGGAAACAUUGAUGCAAAUAAACCAUAAAGGAACAAAGCCAAGCAAUGCAUGCUAGCAUAAUGCAACCUUAUCAUAGUUCUAAUCAAAACAUGAGUAAGCUAACCGCAUUGAAUCUGAAUAAUUAUUAGCGCUUGUUUGCUUGCUCACUGAGACUACUGUAAGUUCAGAAACCCUUGUAACUAACCCAUGUUUCUCCACACAAUGCACACACCAGGGGGCAUAUAUAUUCUGAUUGCUUUAGGACAGAAAAAAAGAUAGCAUCUAACUAUAUUUUAGAACUACACUUUUUUUUUGACGAAACAAAUACAAUGAUCUAUUUAUUGCUGAAGAAGAUCGCCGCCCAUUAGGUUACACUCGACCGUACAGAAAAAGAAAAAAAGAAAACUAGCACACGCGGGAAUGUACAAGGAAUUUGGACCAAAACAAAGAUGAUAAAGCUCAGGGGACAUUGUCCAUGAACUGCAGACAUUACUGUGAAAUCGUAUUUGUAUAGAAACAUACCUGAUCUGCCCACCGAGAUUUGAGAUGUUCAUCACUACUGCUUCUCCUGUCCUCAGCACAAUUUCUUACAAGCAGAUCUGUGAGAAGCAACAGAAGUGAGAGAUGAAACUGAUUCAACGCUCGACCUGCACCAGCCUAUUCCAAACCCGCCGGUCCACAACAUGAAAUCUAUUCUUAGAAACAUCCAUAAUGAAGUUAAAUUUUUUUUGCUGUUCUUUGCAAGUUAUGAAUCAAAAAAACGUUAAUUUUUUUUGCUGUUCUUUUCUGUAUUCUCUAUUGAUGAUACUAUCUACUCCCUUCAUUUCAUAAAGGUUGGCACGACUUUGAACUAGGUCUUGUUCAAAAUCAUGCCAAUCUUUAUGAAAUGGAGGGAGUACGAUGGAUUUCAAUAUCUGGCCUUAACCAUGAUAUCAACACGACGGACACGAGGUCUUGCCAGAGGAUAUAUAUACAGUUGCACAAUAAAAUCAACAGUAAAAUAUAAAGACCAUGCCCUUUUCUUCAACCAGGAAUCAUACUACCCUACGAGGGUUUUGGAUAUGAUGUGGUGUUUUCUUACGCAUUUGCUAGAGCUAGAAAUAGAUCACCUCGAUGCGGCGGAAGCCCACAAUACAUAGGCUGGUGGUGAAAAACGUUGAUCUGAUCCCCAUCCUCCAGCUCCAGGUCUGCCAGCGUCGCACCAUUAUUAAGGAACCUGGCGUCGAACAAGAAAACCGCCUCAGCGUAUGGAAGGGUAGGCACCAUGGCGCAGUAGUACUCCUUCAAGCUCUGCACCGUGUCGGUCCUCCGCAUGGUGCGGGUGAACUCGCGCCCCUUUGAGUCGCGCAGCACGGGAGUGACGAACAUGCACGGCUCGAUCUCCCGGAGGAACUGGAUCUCGUCGCCGUCCUUCAGGUUGUAAUCCGCCGGCGUCGCUUCGCAGAGGAGCCGGCUGCCGUGGUGGAGGAAGACGCCAUCCCCGUCCCCGGCGGUGGGCACCAUGGCGUAGUAGAAGCGUAUGAGGUCCUGAAGCUUGUCGGUGCUUCGCAUGGUGUGGCUCAACCUGCGCCCUUCCUCGUCCGUCACAACGGGGGUGACGAAUUGCUUCUUCGCUGGCUCGACCUUCACCUUCCUCUUCUUCACGGCCGGAGCAGACAUUGUCGGCCGGGUUGUGGUUGCAGUUGCUGAUCUGGGCGUUGUUGGUUUCGAGGGAAGGGCAGGGGGCACCCGGGGAGUGUCCAUAUACACACGGCCGCGGCGCGAAUCCAGCCCACUUUCACACGACUCCACGCAUUCUCGUUCUCUUUGAUUGUCUCCGGUUAUCUCGCUGGUACGAGAAUAAUAAUUCGAAGAGACUGGCCGGAUGCCCAAGUAUCGGAACCAUGCGCGUGCGCGAGUCCAAUGCUAUUCUCAAGGUGCCAAUUGCAAUUAAUCCCCGAUCGAGUCAUGGGAAGUUAAUGCCAAGUUUUAAUGUUUGUUUUCUGAAGAUUGUGUUCAACGUGUUUUGUGGGCUUGGUAGUAACAUAGAUGCCAACUAGACAUUUUCGUGAUAUGGCAUGGCAAUAAAUGAAAAAAAAAGAGAAAGAUGGUAACUAGAUAUGUUACCAUAAUAUCACACAAAUCAAGACAAUUAAUGACACAAUGCAUGACACCACACAUAAUUUACUAUCCACCAUCGAGAUAGUAACUCAGAGUAGUAACACUACUCUUAGUUACUCCCCACUAUGACCAGCCUUAAAGAAAAAGGGAUUCCAAAGAAAAUUGAGCACCUUGUCAAGCAUCAACUAUGCAGUCACUGAACCCCUAGGCUACCUUUCUGCCCUUCACAUUGUGUUUGGGACAGCGACACUGUCACCUUGAUAGGAACCAUCGUACUGGCUCUCGUCGUAAUAGAUCGGUGCCGUCUGGCUGACAGCCGUCUUGAACAAUCGGCAACUAGGUUAAUCGCCCUUGGAAACACCAUAAGAAUGUCUGCACACAAAUACGUGGAUCACCCGGCGAGUUGCCAUGUUAAAAAUGGACAAACAUUAGGCUAUGUUUGGACACAAAGUAUUUUUUAAACCAUGGUAUUUCAAAACCACAGUAUUAUUUGCCUGUGCAAAGAAUACUACGGUUUGUAGAAACCACAAUUUUUCUCAGUUUUACCAAAACUACCAGGACGUUUGGUCGUGCUGUAUUUAUGCCGUAGUUUUUAGCUCACCUAUAUGCAUGCAGGUAGACGUCGGCUGCAACUACCGAGCUAGCUUGAAGGUAGUCGUUAGCUUUAGAACAGUGUGCACUUGAUCAAUCCUAUAGAAAGGGAAGCCAUUGUUGUUGCUGUGUUGAUCGUGAAAGCAUCAGGAGGAGGAGCAACAUUAUACAGUACCAAUUCAAAUUUGCUCGCCAUCAUAUAGUCUGAAUAUCAUGAAUAAAAUUUGCAUAGCAUCUGUUUUCAGAAGUAACCAAUCACCUCACAGUAAUUAAAAACCCUGGUAAUUCUAGAAACUGUAGUAUCGUGAAAAUACUGAAAAAACAAACUGAGCUGCCAAACGAGACAAAGGAUUGUUUGGCAUCGCACAAGGCAAGCACAGGGUUGAUCCAACGGAAGUCUUGAUUGCCCGGCCGGACAACGACGAAUGAAGCGUGCACACAAAAAGAAUCCCCAUUUGUUAAACAAGAGGAAAUAGGGAUCAUGUUUAUACAUAUAGGCUAGAUUAUGUCGAUCAUUGAUUGUGGUGAGUUAAGCACUAUUGAAAAACAACAUAAAAAUCUGUUAAUUGUUCGGUUAGCUGCACAAAUGCCCUGGGUCGCCCAGCUAGUUGCCGGGUGAAAUAAAAAAAAAAGCAAAUUAGAUGCCACGGUGAAACUUCAGAAAACAUAAUACUGCACGGAUACAUUAGGAGUUAACAACAAAAAUCCUCUGUCAAUAAUCAAAUACUCUCUACGUGAUUUAAAUUUGUUCAAAUACGGAUGUAUUUAUGUCUAAAAAACGUCAGAUACAUGUAAUAAAGAGUCACUUUAAUAUGAAACGGAGUGAGUAAAGGAUAGCCACGAUUACACUAAGCAGAAAUAAAUUGCUCGUUAGUACUCUCACGCUGACCGUCAGCGAUCGAUCGAGCUAGGCCGUCCUCCGCGCGCCUCCGAGCAACUCGACGAAGAAGUCGACCUCGUCGCCGUCCUCCAUGUUGAAGUCAGCCGGGGUCUGCCAGCCCUUCAUCCGUUUGCCGUCGACGAAGAACCGGCCCGUGUUGCGAUCAACGCCGGGCAUGCUGCGGUAGUAGAAGUCGAACAGGCUCUGCAGCUGGUCGGUCAUCCGCAUGGUGUAGUGGACCCUGAACCUGUUGAGGUCCUGCACCUUGAUCGUGAUGAGCCCGUCGCCGUCCUUCGCCUCCCCCUUGACGCUCCGCGCCGGAGUGAUCCACAUGGUCGGCGGAUCUGCACGGUCGGUGGGGUUCGUGUGUUGUUGUGUUUUUCUAGGUUUCGUGGGAGCGGCGGCGCCCAGAUCGGAGAGUUGUGUAUAUAUAUGGUCGCAUCCUCGUUAAUUCCAACGCUGACUGUGGGACAGGACUCCAGGCAUUCUCGUUCUCUGUGGUUAUGUCCGGUAAUCUCGGUGGCACAAGUAGUAAUUCAAAGAGACCGCUGCUGCCUAUUCUCAUUUCUCAAGGUGCAUGCGAAUCAAUCCCCGGGGUCAUGGGAAGUUAACUUCAAGUUUUAACUGUCUGUUGUUUUCUGAAGCUGGUCUGUUCAACGUGUUUGGUCAGGAAAACGAAGCAAAGCGAUUCCCCAAGACAAUAGGGGCCCACAUGUAGGCUAACUCACCGAAUCCCGUGGCACAACAUUGAUCCCGAGCGAAACAAAUAGGUUUCCCAGGAUCAGAGGGCUAGUUGAUCGGAAUUAGAUGGGUUAGGGGCCGAAAACCUAGGAUUAGGAAGUGGGGUUUUGAUUCAGACAAGUUCUACAAAGUCAGGGUUUAAAAUAGACUUUUGUCUCUAAAGAAAAUGAAGCACCGUCUACAGCAUAAACCGGGCAGCCCCAUACCCCAAACUAAUAGCCAUCCAUCGCCUCUUGGCCCCCUUUGUGCCCUUUGCAUUGUGCCUGGGGCAGCUACACACCUUAUUUAGGGAGGAACCAUCACGCCAGCGCUAGUCAUCAUAAUAUUUUUGAUGCUGAUGCUGGUUGCCGAUGGUGGAAGCGAUGGGUGCUAGGGGUCGACCCACAGAGGGCGGCCGGUGCUGGAGAUCGUUUGACGGACGGUGGUGAUUGUUGUUUGCUCACUCGGUCCCGAUUUAAGUGAUGCAGGAGAAAAAGAAAUUGAACUAAAAACCGUUUUACAGAAACACACUUUACAUUUCAGACUUUUAAAAAUUCAAGGCUCUUUACUCCAUCGCUAAAGGUCACACGGGAGGCUGUGAAGAGCGCAUAAAAGAUUUCAUAAGAGCUCACUGACCGGACAUGCCUAGAUCAACAACGUCAUUGCUAGCACGUGGAGCACAAUAGCACAUAAAUGCGGAACAUCCACCAAUCAUCAGCACACGCCAACGAACCCACACCAAACCCAGGGAUCGAGACAACUCCAAGGAGAUCACGACACCAUUUAUGUUGCCUCUGCCAAAUCGAAGGGGUUUCACCCAAGAGUUUUCACCCUAGAGAAAAUCGGUAGGGAUGUAGGGCCCCCCUCAAUGGAACCUCCAAGGAGGGGACCGCCGUCGUGCCCACCAAGCUGACCAAACGUUUCUCCCGGACAAAUCACACCCCCCUCCCCCCCUCCCCCCCCCCCCCCUCACAAACAACAGCACCUCUGCAUCAUCAAAACCAAGGACCCAAGGUUGCCAAGAUCUAGAUCUGGCGACGGGUUAACGAAGCAAAAACACUAUAGAUCUAGCACGCGGGGGUAAGGGAAGGGAGGCUACGGAGAAGCGCACAAUCAGCACCACCUGACCUCUCAGCCUGCAUCUGCACUCUCCACACAUCUGAGAGUCGUCGCCGGCUCUCCACCCAAGGUUGCCUUCAUAUUUAGCCGUUCACACAAGUGGCAAUAUCCUCGCCGCAACUGUUAUCGGCGGCCGCAUGAGCUUCUUGCUGUUACUCUGUUGGCGACAAGGAGGAGCAGGGAGAAAAGACGGCAACAAUGGCUAGGAUUUCACCCUCAAUUUUCCUGUGUGGGGCGACAUAAGGACCCGAAAACACACAAAAAAAAUUGGUGGGCAAGAACUAAGACAUCAAUGGUGGCUUUCAUGUGAGAUAAACUUCAAACGGAAACUUCAAGGGUCACUGGACAAAAAUAUAUGAGAAAGUAGAUGCCAAGGUGAAAAAUAUGGAACCAUAAUACUACGCAGAAAUACUAGGAACACAAAGCUGUCCUCUAUGAGUAAUCAAAUAAACAAUAGCCAUGAUGACAGUAUGCAGAAAUAAUAUGCUCUCGGGGAUCGAGCUAGACCGACCUCUGUGCGCCUCCCAGACACUGGGUGAAGAAGUCCACCUCGUCGCCGUCCUCCAUGUUGAAACCAGACGGCGUCUGCCAACCUUGCAUCCUUUUGCCGUCGAGGACGAACCGACCAGUGUUCAGAUCAAGAUCAGCCAUGCUACGGUAGUAGAAGUCAAACAGAUUCUGCAACUUGUCAGUUUUCCGCAUGGUGUAGUAGAUCCUGGACCCGUUAAGGUCCUGCACCUUGAUCCUGAUGCGCCCGCCAUCCUCCCUCUCCCUCUUGACGCCUCGCGCCGCCGUUGUGGUCGAGAGAGACGACAUACUACCGGAAGUAAUAUUGAGCGUGUUGGCCGAUUUGCUUUGAGCAGGAGGAGUGCCCGACGCCCUGGGUGAGCUAAUAAAGGGGCGGUGAUUUAAUUUCGGCGACAGCUAAGGAUCAUAUUUCUAAGUUUGAGAGAGACCGUCUUACAUGCUGCACAUGAGUUGGGCUCGUUGUAAAAUAGGCGGUCCAUUAAUGGGACCCACAUGUCAGUGACCAUGUGUCAGUGUGCAAUAUGUGAGAGGAUCCUCCUCUGAUUUUCUAGUUUUGUUUUUCCCUGGUACAACUCAUCGUGGUUGGAUGCAUCAUCGUAAAUUACAGCUGGCCAAUUCCUUUUGUAAAUUUUCAAUUAAAUGCACCGCGUUGUCGAUUUGUAGCCAAGUAAUAUCUAAUUUUAGGAACUUAACUAAUGUUUUCCUUAUAUUUGUAGCGAGGAAAAGAUAUGUGCGCUGACUAGCAAGGUGACGUAUCCAAUGCACACUAUACAUGUGGACCAUCGGAUGUAAGACGUGCGGUGCAGAUCAAAAGUUAAAAUCAAGAAACACAAGUAAACACGUUUUUCACAUAAUCCCAUGUACUUAUCCCGCGAUUAGUAACACUUGAUUCCAUGCCAUACGAGGCCCGUCGAUAUAGCGUGAUGUGGGCAAGACCCACGCAAGGACGACGAAGGCAUCAUCAAACACGAAAGGGAAACAAACGUCUAGGUUUGCACCAAGUGGUCCAUCGGCCUCAGAGAUAUUUUUUUCCUUUUCUGUUAUGUCUCAAGUUUGUCAAAAAUGUGAUGUAUCUAAACAUGACGUAGUGUAUAGAUGCAUUCAAAUUUAGUCAAAGUUGAUACAUCCUUUGUUGGACGGAGUAAGUAAUGGAUUUCGGAAAUAGAUUUACCAUUUUUAUAAUAUUUUCAAAUAUAGGUUAAAUUAAGAAUAAGCUCCAAAAAUAUUGAAAAUUUGCAUGGGCUCAGUAGAGACCUGUGUAAAAUUCUUAAAGUCAUUGGUCUGAUUUUACCAGAAAAAAUUAUUUGGGGUCUAAUUAGGGUAUUUGCCUCCUAUAAAAAUUCUUAUUUCUUAGCCUUUUCAUAAUGCAUAAAUGGUGAUAUGAAUGCAUGCUUAACCUUCAUAACCUUAUUCACUCUUUUAGGAUCUUUACAAGGUCUUCUGGACUCCGCCGGUAUAAACAUAGAGCUCUUUUGCGGCGUUAGUCAAUAGAGAUUUCUUUUGUGGUACCCUUAACAUAUAGACCCUCCAUUUUCCUCAUCGAAGGGUCCACGUGAAUCUAUAUUGGGGUCUCCCUGAGCCAACUGUCAUGCUUUCCGAGGCGAGCAGUAUGACUUAUGGGCGAAAUCGGAAUUCCACCUGUCCGUUAACUCGGCCCAGCUGGCCCAAGCAGAGGAGAAACACAGCCUUCGUGUUUGUACAUCGGUUGCCUAGCAUGGAGGUGGGAGCUGCUUGGGUUUGGCGAACGGGCCAGGGUUUCCGUGACCGCCUUGACGAAUUAAGAAUGGGCCGGAUAAAUGGGCCCAUUGGUACCGUGCAGCGAUACCUUUGCGGAGGAAAAAUAUGUUUCGUGGAGAAAAAAAAAACAACGGAUCCCACUCCAGCAUUGCUCCACUUCACCAGCAGGGUCAACUCCCCAACUUGGCAGCCGCCCGUAAUGGCGUCGCUGCCGGAAUUCGACCCGGCGGACGCGGCCGCCGGCCGUGGCCUCAUCGAGCGCCUCACCACCGACGCCGCGGCGCUCCAGCGGGACCUCCUCACGCAGAUCAUCACGCGGAACGCCCACACCGGGUACCUCCGUCGCUUCCUGGGCGGUCUGCCACCCGGCGCGUCCGCCGACGACCUCCGGGAGGCCUUCAAGAAGAGCGUCCCCGUAUCAGGGUACGAGGACGUCAAGCCGUACGUGGACCGCGUCGCCGCCGGGGAGCCGUCGGACAUCGUCUGCUCCGAGCGUAUCACCCACCUCCUCAGAAGGUAAACCCCGUCCCUGAGGUGUGUCCGGCCUUAUGUAUAGAAAUCGAUCGACAAAUUGUUGUGCACUUGUUUCUCACGGUGGAAUUUUGCCGACGAGCGCUCGCGGACGCAGCUCGGGCACAUCUGGGGGACAGCAGAAGCUCUUGCCGUCUACAGAGGAGGAGAUCGACCGGAAGGCCUUCUUCCAGGCUGUCCAGGCGCUAGUGAUAAACAUGUAAGCAUAGGGUGGCUGGGUCUUGUUAAUUAUCCCUUUGGAUAAAUGUUUCUUUACCAACUGGAGUACGUCUGUGUAAUUAUCAUGUGCACGAGGUUUAAGAGUGCACAAUUUAUCUGCUGCUGCUGUUGUAGGAGUAUAAUCUAAGCAUCGGGUGUACAUUGUUUUAGGCAUCUGCACGCUGAUAAGGAUAAAUGCGGCAAGGGGAUGUACCUCAUGUUUGCCUUUCCUGGAGAUCGGACCUUGUCAGGCUUGCCUGUCCAGUGAGUCUUACUGCAUACUACCACAGCAGCCAGUUCCAGGACCGUGACUUUAGCGAGUUCGACAGGUGCACAAGUCCCAUAGAGGCGAUUCUCUGCCCAGAUAGCAAGCAGAGCAUGUACUGCCAGUUGCUGUGCGGCCUGGUUCAACGCAGAGAUGUAGACCGUGUUGGUGGCACCUUUGCUAAUAGUUUUGUUAGAGGUAUCAAUUUUUUGGAAUGUAACUGGAAGGAGAUGUGCGAUAAUAUCCGCAGUGGGCAUCUCAGUGACUGGAUCACACACGAACCUUUGCGUGUUGCCAUCACUGAACGUUACCUGCAAGUACCUGACCCAGCACUAGCUGAUGAGAUUGUAUUGGAGUGCGCCAGGAAGCCUUGGGAUGGGAUAGUGAGGAGGCUCUGGCCAGGAGCACGAUAUAUCCGGACUGUUGUUACCGGCUCGAUGUCACAGUACAUUCCAAUUCUUGAGAGUUAUGGUGGUGGGACACCAUUUGUCUCGCCCUUGUAUGCAUGUACAGAGUGCGCCCCAGGUGUCAAUCUAAAGCCUCUUGAUCCACCUUCCUGUGUGUCAUAUGCAUUGCUUCCAAACAUUGCCUACUUUGAGUUUGCGGAGAUCACACAUGCUGAUGAGGAAAAGGUACAGAGAACUAAUGGUUUUGAUGAUAACUUGGUUGAGAUAAAGCUUGUGGAUCUUGUGGAUGUCAAAAUUGGCCGGCGCUAUGAGCUGAUUGUCACCACAUUUGCAGGUCAGCCGUUGGGCUACUCCUUAUCAUCUCCUAUCUGCAUAUAUUUUUUUCACAUUUCUUGUAGCUGUGUUGGUCAUCAUGAUAUAUCUCUGAUCGGUUUAUUUUCCAAACGCAUGAUUAGUGUUAAGAACCCAAUCGAACUAGCACUUUAUUGUGUCAUGCUUAUCCAUUAAGUACACACUAAAUGAUAUUGGCAUCCUACUAAUAUAAUAAUUUACUCAUGCUUGUGUAAGAUGAUUUAUUUUAUUUGCAUAGCUUGGUGGAUUUGCUAUGUUAUAAAGUUUACAAUCAAGGAUUUCAUUAAGUUCUGAAAAAUAAUAGGAAGAACUUGUGGUCCAACUUGCCUCAGAAUAUGGGGUGAAUAUGUUUUGAGUUCACAUCUUGUGCAUACCAGGUCUUUACAGAUACCGAGUUGGUGAUAUUUUUACGGUGAGUGGCUUCUACAAUGCAACACCACUGUUCCACUUCUCAGGACGGCAUGAUGUUUUGUUAAGCAUAGACUAUGAGAAGAUAAGUGAGGAGGACCUGCUCAAGGCCAUUUCACAAGCUGACGCGCUCCAUCUUAGGCCUCUUGGUUACAUGCUUGGUGGCAGCACAGCAUAUGCGGACAUAUCUGUGUUGCCUGGCCACUAUAUCCUGUUCUGGGAGCUGGUCAGUAGUGCAAGUCGCAACCAUAUGGCUAGUGAUAUCGAUCGAACUGCCAUGGAGAAUUGUUGUUCGACUGUGGAAGAAUGCUUUGAUGAAAUGUACCACAAAAGCAGACACCGCGGGUCAAUCAGGCCACUGGAGAUAAGGGUGCUGAAACAUGGUGCAUUUGAUGCUCUGAUGGACUUCUUUAUCUCCAGAGGCACAUCAGCCAGUCAGUACAAAACUCCAACUGCUAUUCGAUCGGUAGAAGCGCUGAUGGUGUUGGAGGAGAGGGUAGCAGGGAGGUUCUUUAGCCAGCAAAAUCCAAGCUGUCCUUUGUAUGAAUCCAGAGGAAUUGAUGCUACUGGGCUCGUCCGGACUUGAGAAUGUACUCAUCUGACGGUUCAUAUGGUAUCCCUUGUACGACAAACAUUGUACUACUUAAAGCAGCGCUGUAAGUUUAAAUCCAUGUUGAGAACACAAGAAAUAAGAAAAAGAAAUGUAAGUCUCAAUGUGAGAACUGUAGAUUUGUGAAAAAGAACAUGAACUGUAGAUAAUACAGAUUGGCUGUAAAUUUGGCAAAUUGUCACCGUCAACACUGGAUUGGUAAUUUUUCUUUUGGUCCUCGUGUGGUGUCGAGUUUGGACUCAAAAUAGUGUAGCUUGGUGAAUAGAUGUGGGCCGUGUGGCUAUGAUCUCUGACUCUUCUCAGAUUUUAUCAUCAUGGUAACAUAACUCGGUGUAUCGGGCGCACCAGAGCCACAAUAUUUUGAGACAACCAGGAGAAGGAAAUGCAGAAGAACAUCUUCUUUUCUUUCAGAACUGCAACAGGAACUGGGCAGCAAGAUUAGGGGCCAUGAUAUGACAACCAGCAGUCAGCAGACCAGCAAGUCACUCGUAAAAGCACCACUCGCCUAGUACGCCGACGUCGACGAUCGUGACUACAUCCUACGCGUCCAUCGGCCCCGGAACCCGUCCGGCUGCGCCGCCGAGCAGCUCGGAGAAGAAGUCGACCUCGUCGCCGUCCUCCAUCUCGAGCUCCUCCGGCGUCUGCGCCCCGCCCAGCCUCCCGCCGUCGUAGAGGAACCGGCCCGUGCCGUAGGCCACCGCGGGCGCCACGCGGGCGUAGUAGAAGUCCAUGAGGCCCUGCAGCUUCUCCGUGCGCCGCAUCGUGUGGUACACCGACCGCCCGUCCGUGUCCUGCACCUUGAGCGUCACGUGCACGCCAGGCUUGAUCACCGGCUUCCGGUCCUUCUCCUCUUUCUCCUCCUUGCAACGCACCGCCGCCGACAUCGCCGGUUCGCCGGUGCCUGAUGACCGAUUUCCUCCGGUUGUGAGUGGGUUUUUGGGCUUGGUUUUGUUUUCUGUCUGGUGUUGCGGGUCCUUAUAAAGGCCGUGCGCGUGCUGCAUGGAUGGUUUUAAUUUACCGGGGAUUUGUAACGCCAAAAGCGACCGACGUUUCGGCUGCUCGUCACGUGCUCUGCGCGGGGAAUGAAGCGAUCAAGGUAUUCAUUUGCCACCAAGCGGACAUAAAUUGCACCGGAAUGUGCAUCUCCAAAGCGGCGCCACUGUUAAGUUGCCUGUUGGACUGGGCUACAGGCUCAGGCAGAGUUCUGUAGACUCUUUCUUUUUUCGAAGUACUAAAAGUGUUUGCUUUGAAAAAUGACCCUUCGAUAUCAUCGACUCUAGUUUUACCUUUUUCCAACUUGACAUUUCUCCAAAACUUUGGUGGUGAGUAGAAAGUAUAUGAAAAACAAACAACAACAAAGUCUGAAAAUACUACGAAUGUUGGUUUUUAAGCCAUUCACCAGAGUGGGAUGCUGCUCACGCGUCUAGUCCUGCUUCCAUCUCAGGAAAGAUGGCGCCUGCAGUGUGUUUGGUUGUUUCAUUUUAAAAACUCGAUCACCACGCAUAAAAGACGACAUGGUUCAACUAAAUCACAAAAUAGAUAGGAAGGUGAACAGACGAUGGCAUCUAAAUCCAAGAACAACUACUCUGAACCGCUCACAUGAUCGAGCAAUUUGCCUCCCAACAAUACUAAUUAGCUAGUAGUACGGAGUAACGCUUAAAUGCCCCAUACAGAUAACAAUUCUGACCUACGGAGAUCAAAUUAAUCCCGUCGGCUAGGCGCCUCCUACGCGGAGAUCAGUCCAGCAUCCGACUUCCGGCCUCCAAUCAUGUGUUCGAAGAAAUCGAUCAUGUCGUCGUCCUCCAGCUCGAGCUCGGCCACGGUCUUCUCAGGGCGUAACCGGGAGCCGUUGAGCGUGAACAAGCCGCUGCCGUAUGGGAUGUCGGGCAUCUUGUGGUACCACACGUCCAUAAUGACCUGGAGCUUGUCGGUCAUCUUCAUGGCGUGGCGGACCACGCGCUCCUCGCUCACCACCUUGAGCAUCACCAUCAGGGGCUUCACCGCCGCCUUCGAGUCCUCCUCCUCCGCCUCUUGCCUGGCCGCCGGCGGAGGCAUGGCUAGCUUGAGCUUCCAGCAGUGUGCCUGCUGCCUCGUUGUGGAUGUUUUGCCGUGUGAGCGGUGGAGUGUUGUUGCGAAUGGCUUUGGGAAUGGAUGCGGAGAUCGAGUGCAGGGGCCUUAUAUAUAGGGUCCGAGAAAGCGUCAUGGUUUGAAUGUUUGUUUGACCAUUGCGCGGGUUCCGAAGCAAUUUAUACGUAUCCAGUAGCGAAUUCGAGCCAAAUUCUAGCGCGCGUCUCCACCGGCUCUCCUUGUGAAUCAGCGCGUGUCUGGAUAGAGUGGAACGGAGUAAUUAAGCUGAGUAGUAUUGCUGUUGCGAAUGCCAUGCGUAACUCGGGAAUGCAUUUGGUUUAUAAAGUUAUAAACAGACACGUUUUGCAACAUGAAACUUGGAUUUUCACUUUCUUACAAAUAUACUAUUCCCUACAUCCGACAAAAGAUGUUUCAAGUUUGUCAAAAUUUGGAUGAUGCAUUCAAAUUUAGUCGAAGUUGAGACAUCCUUUGUUGGACGGAGAGAGUAGUAUUGAUGAAAUUAAAAUUUAUAAAAAGUUGAACUCAUUGUUGUAAAAUCAUACUAAAUAUUACGAAAAUCUUUUGAACUACUCCCUCCGUCCACAAAUUAUGAAGUAUUAUUGGAUUUGAAAAUGUAUUGGGAAUAUGAUAACCACCAUCCCUCUUUUUUAAUUUUUUUUACCUCCAGUGAGCUAAGUGGAUGCAUAAAUAUUUUUUGGUUUGACUUCCAUGUGAUGAAAAAGAAAUAUUUUUUAUUAGAACGGACUAAGUCUCGGUCUAUUCUCAGUCGAUGUACCCGGCCGCUCGGCAACCCUCCAUUCCAUCCCUCGAAGCAUCUCCAACAUCAUACUCAUAUUUGGUGCGAAUCCCCACAAACUGUCAAUAUGGUUAUUUGGUCUCAAAAAUUAGUUCCAACAGCAUAACCAUAAAACAAAUUUUUUGGAUAGCUAUCCAUAUUUUGCCUCUCAACGCCCAAAUAUGGGUAUUGUAGACCAGAAUACCCAAAAGACCCAAAACUUGAAGGGAACCCACCUACUGAGAUCCUGAAAUUUCACCCUCUUCCUGCUAGCCGUCCCCACCUCCUGCCCCCGCCGGCGCCGAUUCCGGCGGCUGGAGUUCGCCGCCGCCGUCCCCCAUGCCUCCAGCGGAGCCGCCCGGCCCCUACGCCGCUCCUUGGUGCCUCCGCUGCCGUCGCUGCCCAACUCUUCGCCCUGUGCUCGCCACCGGCCUCGAUGUCUCGUGCUCGCUGCCAUGGCCGUCAUUCUCGUCGAUUCCGGCGGCAGGGACCUGCUCCUGAACUUCCCCGAGCGUUGUCUUCACCCAGCACCAUCGCCCGCGUCUCCGAGCAGCUCCUGUCAUGGCCCAGCACCAUCGUCCGUGCCUCCGAGCAGCUCCCGUCACGGCCCAGCCCCCGCCCGCGCCCUCCCCACCUUCUGCGGCCGCGACCUUCACCCAAUCGCUGCUGUCGCCGCCAAGCACCACCGUUGGCGACGAAUGCCUGCGGAUCCUCCCAAACCCGAGGACGUGUCCCUGUGUUUCAGAUCUUGGUUAAUUUUAUGUACCUGACGAACGAGCGCGCCGCCUCCGCACCUCUCUGCUCGAGGAGCCGUAUCCCCACCAUCCAUACGCAAACCGUACAAACAUAUAUCAGGAUGGAUGCAGGAAAACAAAAAAAAAAGAAGAAGAAAGGGAAACAACAUGAAACCAAAAAAAAAAAAAGAAACAACAAAAAAUGGACGGCAGAAGAUUUGAACUUGCGACUUACGAGUAUGCAACAAUCAAAUGAUACUAUCAACAAGCACUAGAACAAUUAGCUAAUGUUGUCUACAGUUAGUUGUUUCAUUAUUUAACUUGGUUUAGCCUCCCCAUUAACUUCUUAACCCAUGAUCCAACGCCAACGGCGUAGACCAUCGACCGAGAAAUACGAUUUUUCGGAUGACUGAGUACUAGCAAAUCCGAUUUUUCUACUCUAAAGUGUUUUUGUUUGUGGACGGAGAGAGCACUAUCCCGUGUAUUCAGUCUUAGUAAUAUGCUUCUAUUAUUGUACUAUUGCAUAUGACAAAAAUGGUGGAGAGAUUUGGGAAGCGGAAAAUUAACGUGGAGGACGAAUAUCAAACAGUCAAAUGGUUGCGGUGUCAGAAUUUUUAUUUUUAUUAUGUCAUGACCGGUUCUUGCAGCAAACACACUGGACCAAGGUGCUGAUCGAUCGGUUACUUUAGGGAAUACUACUCCGUUUGAAUUUACAGCAAUUAUCUUGCAACCAGCAAACAUGAUGGUUUAAAACCAACUUCAAAUCGAUCACGAGUUCACGACGACGAUCCGAGUUGGAAACACAGCUGAAAAUGGGAACAUCGGAGAUGCAAGAACUACGGAGUAGUAGAUACAGUACUACUACAGAAAUCCGUCCCGCAAUGAUCGAGCAGCAGGAUAGACAUGAAAGACCCUGUCUAGCCGUCUAUGCGCGCGGCGGGCACCGAUCCGGCAGCAACCAUCCCAUGCACAGCCGCCAACCAGCACUUGAAAGAAACCGAUCACGUCCCCGUCCUCUAGCUUGAGAUCCGCCGGCGUGCGCUCGCCGCGCAGGCGCACGCUCUCGAACCAGAAGGAGCCCGUGCCGCGCGCGGGCGACGUCCGGCGCCUCGUCGUAGUACGCGUCCAUGACGGCCUGGAGCUUGCCGUUCAUCCGGAUGGUGCGCCGGACCAGGCGCCGCUCCUGGUCCACAACCUUGGGCGUCACGAACCGGCUGGGAAUGGGGUUCGCCAACGCCACCGUGUCCUGCGCCGUCAGCGCCACGUGUGUGCUGCCGCCGAAGCCAAGCAAGGUGACCACCUUGACCGGCGAGGCUGUGUGUUGGGCUCAUUUUCACUUCAGGUCGAGCCCAGACUUGGCUCGGGCCGCUCGGCAAGCCCAAAGCCCGAAGCAGUUUCAGCCCAGCCCAAUCACUAUCCCUGACUCCCGCAGGCCUGCCGCAGUCCACAGCCUGUGCCAGCCCAUGACUAGUCGAGAGCACAGGCAAGGCCUCCUCCCCGGUCGUUCGUUAGGUUUUCCCAGCUCUGCUGCUCUGGCUGUUGCGGCGCCGGCGCCGCACUGCCCUGCGCCGCGCACGCCCGCCCGCCUCUUGCAGCCGUUCACCCCGCCCGCUGCGAUGCCGAUGGCGACGACCCGGCGUCCUCUUCCUUCCCCCGCGUCAGCAGGCUCGUCAUGGCAGGACCUCCCGUCGGAGCUGCUGGGCCUCGUGCUCUCGCGGCUGCCGUCGCACGCCGACCGCGUCCGCCUCCCCGCCGUGUGCCGCCCGUGGCGGUCCAGCGCGCGUCUGCAGCGGCCGCUACCGCCGCUGCUCCCGUGGCUCGCCCUCACCGACGGCGCCGUCCACCGAUUGCCGGUCGCGGAUGACGACACCGGAUGAUUCUCCACUGGCAGCACGCUCUUCCUCGUGCGCGGCGACGGCAGAUGCUCCCUGAUGAACCCUUUCUCCGCGGCGGCGACGACCCCUCUGCCCGAGCUAACCGACUAUGUCCCUGUAACCGACUGGAUUGCAAGAAAGCCACACUUCCGGUACCGGAAGGUGUUAGUUUCGUCCGGUCGCCAUCGCCUCGUCGCAGUUCUGGUCCAGUUCCACCGCACCGGCACCUCCAAGAAACUCAUCUUCCCUACUCGUGGGCGGCAAGGGCUAAGCACGAUGAUGGAUUGGGCACCGCCUCAAGGCAGCUUCAUCAGAGACACAUUGCGCUCUUCCAAGGCAAGAUCUACAUCCAAACCACCACGGAAGCGCAAUAUCAACAUGAGCUCCAUGUCCUCGACGCUGGUGGCCAGCAGACAACCACGCUGAAUGUCAAAACCGUUCAAUGCAUACGCAGUAUCCCGAAGGAUCAUGGUGACGACUGACGAGGAAGGGGAAGCAUGGUUCAAUCCUUACGCGACUGAUUAUUACUUGCCUCGGUGCUAUCUCGUCGCUUCUGGCGAUCGGCUGCUGAUGGUGGAACGAAAGAUCAAUCUGCCGCCGAUGAUGCCGCGAGACUCUGGGAUUCAGAAGCGGACUCGCAGGUUCCAGGUCUUUGAGGCGGCAGACCUGAGCAGCGGCUGUGGACGAUGGAUGGAGGUUGAUACUUUGAUGGGACGUGCGCUCUUCGUCAGCGAACGCUGCUCCGAGUCGCUCCCUGCCGGUGGCGCAGUUCGUGAAGAUUGCAUAUACUUUAUGAAUGAGGAAAACACGGCCGGGGGGAAUCAUGAGAAUCCGCUUCUCGACUCCGGUUUCUACAACAUGAGAGACCGAACAGUGACACCGUUGUUGCUGGAGACGUCCGCAACGCCCGCAGCAGGUGACGGUCCUUGGCCACCGGCUUGGUUUUUCCCUAAAACCUGAUUUAAGGUGGUUCCGUUACAUGGUAAUACUAUCGAUUGGGGUUUUCUUCAGUAUCUGAUGCUCAUAUAUUCAUUUUAGUACAUUUAAAUGUGACUAUAUGCAUCAGGAGAUGCAAAACCGGAAGGUUCUUUUUACUCACUUUUUUUCACAACUAGUUGGGAAACAGUUACAAAAUUAUUUCGAAACCGUUAAAAAAUCAUUUCUCAAUAUAUAUCUAACAGACAUAGAAUGGAAUACAAAACUUAGGAAAUAUGUGAAUACAAAGAUGCGUUUGCCAACAUAUGUUAUGUGUGACAUUAUUUUGACAUCAUGUGACACCUUGACAUAAACUUGAUGAUGAUGUUUGCCGUAAUAUGAUGGUCCUAUAUCAGGUGACUCCUAAGUCAUAAAACUUAAAAGCAGCAUUGUCCUGUACAAACAAAAGGCAGUAAUCCACUUCUGAUUUAUAAGGCAAAACUUCAUUCUGGGAUUGGUUUGUCCUUUGUCGGAAGUGAUACAUGGGAGUAGUGACCUCAUUCUGCAUUAUGUUCAGUCUUCCACCAUCCAAAUUAUUGUCAGAAUGAACUUAAGCAUAGGUGACUACAUCAUCACCACCUCACUUCGUUUAAAAUAAAAGAGAAUGUUUACAUAUACUUUGUGAACGAGGAAGAGACGCUCCAGAGGAAUAAUGAAAAUCCGUUUCUCGACGCCGUUGCUGCCAGAGACGGCCACAACGCCCGCAGCAGCAGGUGAUGAUCCAUGGCCUGCGACUUGGUUUUUCCCUAAAACGUGAUUUAAGGUGAUUACGAUUACAUUAAGCAGGGAUACUAUCAAUUAGGAUUUUCUUAGUGUAAUACUCUGUAUAUAUAUUAGUUACUUCUUCCGUUUCAUAAUUCUUGUCUUAAAUUUGUUAAAAAAUGGAUGCGUCUAUUCCAAAAAAGUGUCUAGAUACAUAUAAUAUUUCGACAAGAAUUAUGGAAUGGAAGGAGUAGAUACUUAGAUGAACCUGAAGUAAACAGAGAGAAAAACAUGUAUAACCGGGGAGUGUGUUCGCACCUUCUAUCUCUAUUAAAUUAAGGGUUACAACUUACAAUGAUCGGAGGAGUACAACAUUAUAUCUCAAUAUGGACAUCAUUUACUUAUUCACAUUCCAACGAUAUAGAUCUAACAGGCAUAGAAUAAAAACCGUAGGAAACAUGUGAAUACAAAGAUGUGUUUGCCAGCAGAUGUUAGCAUGUGACAUUAUUUAGACAUCGUGCAUGCUGACGUCUCAACACGAACUUGAUGAUGUUCACUGUGACAUGAUGGUCCUCCAUCAGGUGACUCCGAAGUCAUAAAACUUGCAGCAGCAUUGCCCUGUAAUUCACUCGCUGACUUUUAUAAGGCAAAACUACAUCCUGGGAUUGGUUUGUCCUUUGUCGGAAGUGAUAUGUCCAGUCUUUCACCAUCCAAAUUAUUGUCAGAAAGAACAUAAGCAUAGGCGACCGUACUACAUGAUCACCACCUUACUUCGCUUGAAAUAAAAGAAAUGCCUGCAACAUAUGUGAGGUCUGAUAUUCAAAUAGCAUCCCAUUUCGAAAUCGAUAUAUAGAAUGUCAAUCUCGCUCUACCACCAACGAAGGGAGAAAUAGUGGAUUUGUAAGAUGGCUCAGACAACAUGCCAUUCAUAUAGCGCAGUGUCAAAUUAAGAAUUGUUCAGUUUGUGAAUCCAUUGCGACCCCCAAUGGUGCAUUGGUGCCCCCGAAAGGGUCUCCACUCUCCGGUCUUUAGGCCUGUUUGUUUGGGUUUCUGUUUCAGUUUUUGGUGUUUCUAACAAUCUCAAAAACACUUCUCAGCACCUCCGGACGUGCUUCUCAGCUAGAAGCACCAAAAGCACGUCCGGAGGUGCUUCUCAGCUUCAUCUGUAAACGGGAGAAAUGCUUUUGAGAUUGCUAAAAACACCAAAAGCUGAAGCAGAAGCCCAAACAAACAGAGCCUUAAUCUUGCUAGUGACCUGUGAAAUAUGAAAAGAGCGGAACGUCAAGGUCUUCAACAACGUCUACAUAAUACCUCUGUUGCUCCUCCAGUGAAUCAAAGAAGAGGGCCACGUCUGGGCACUGGCCGGUGCGAAGCACCUUGCAAAUCUCAUGUCCUGAAGUUGUAUUCCUUAUAUUUUUGGCCUUGGCCUACUUGUUUCGCUCAUAUGCUUAUGUUUCACAUAUACUUUAUGAACGAGGAAGACACGUUCAGGAGGAUCAUCAGAAUCUGCUUCUCAACUCUGGCUUCUACAACAUGGGAGACCGAACAGUGACGUUGUUGCUUCUAGAGACAGCCGCCACGGCAGCAGCAGGUGACGGCCCUUAGCCUUGACUUGCAUUUUCCCUAAAACCUGAUUUAAGGUGGUUUUAUACGUGGGGUUGGACGCUUUCCCUCUUUUUUGAAGAAAAAAUUAUGUUAAUAUUGUCGAUUAAGAUUCAUCUUACUUCUUUGAUGUGCAUAUAUUCAAUGUGAUACAUUUUAAUUUGGUUGUACACAUGAAGUUUUUGCGGGAAAAAUAAUGUGCAUUUGAAUAUGCAAAGAUCCAAAGGUUUUGCCAAUUCUUUUCAAAAAUAAUAUGUUGCAAUCCUUUUCCAAAAUGCCAACCAAAGCCUAGAAGAUGAAGCCCCAUAAAAAAAAAAUACUAGCAUCGCAAAAAAAUCAAGGAGAUCAAGAGACAACCAAGUAGUUCGAGCUCAGUCCACAACAGUGGGAGAUCUAAGGGAGACACAUGAAUCCUUGUCAUGCUCUGUUUUUAGGUGAACUACGGUGGGCAUGUACAAGAUUAAACCAUUUCAAUUAAAUGAAAUUUUUUGGAAUACAAAGAGUUAGAAUAACGGAUAAAACAACCACACCACCACGGAUAAAUGGAAACACAAACAUAACCCCAUGCCAUAGACUCUUCAAGCCAGCUACUCGGAGAGGAGCGCAUGCAUAAAAUAUUGAAGGCAUCACUAUACUGAGACCACACGAUGAACAACGAUGUUCCCGGACAUAGUCGAGCAGCACUGCCCAGUCAAAAAGCAUGACAAUUACGUCGACCUCACUAUAGUACAAGCACAACCACCACCGGAGUGGCCGGAAGAACAUGCAAAUUGAAUGUGCAUAUCACAACAUGUAAAGCAAACAUAUGUGAAAGGCAAUGCGCAACCAUAACGAGGACCUAGUGGAAUCCAAGGCAAUGACACAUCCCAGCCAUCAUGUUUGGCGACAUCAUGGAAGGGAAAUGGGAGUUUAGAGGAGUUAGUUCAUAAAAUAUUAGAGAAAAAAAAUUGACUUUUAGUUCCAAUCCUGUGUUAGGUAUGUGUUGAAAAAUACACAUAAAAAUAGAUGAGAAAAACAUUCCUAUUUUUGGUUGGAAGGACUUCACACGGAGUUACCUUAGGCAAAAAAAACAUACAUUGUAUGAUCGAUCAAGAUCACCUCUACCAAACAAUUUUCUCUGAAUUCAAAAUUUCCUUCUUAUUAAAACAAAUUUUCUAUUUAGAAAUUGCCUGUUUUUUGUUAGCGAUCAGUCGACGUGCUUGGCCGUUGGAUCUUAAUCCAACAAUAGCACGUGGGACGGGGGAGAGUGCUCAGAUCUUAAUCCGAUGGUGCCGAUACUUCAACUGAGAUUUAAGUCAUUUUCCUUAAAAAUCAGGCGACUGAAAAAUAGCCACAUGCUUAUAAAAAUUGUUGGAGUUGGCUUCACAAAUAUCCACCGACCCAGCAUUUGUUCUCUCUCUACUUCACAUCACGGUACGUACUGCUCUGUUCGAGAAACUCCACUUUAUCCACACAAACCGAUGGAUCAGAUCAUCUUCAGGCUUACUCUUGUAUAGUAGACUGAGUGGAUCGGGAAGUGCCAGAGCACCGGGGUUGCAAAAAAAUACCGUUGGGUUACCGCCCAAAUUUUUCCCAACUAACUUUAACUUAUUUAUUUCUAUAAAAGAUAAUUUUAUUUUGAAUUCCUCCAAAACAUAAUCAUAACACAACAAUCGUUCACUUAUUUUAUGUAAUUUAUCGCCUUUAUCCGUAUAGUAAAUGAUUGAAUUAAAAUUAGUACGGAGUACUAAUAAAUUUCGAUUUCUUUCUGUAAACUCAUUUACAGGGGUCUCGCGUGGGAGAUGAUGACCCAUUUGCCCCUGAAAAAAAAGGAGCACGGCCGCACGGGGACGACCGGACGACUCGCCCGUCCCAGUUCAUCAUCCCGUUCGUUCGCCUCCCGCUCCGGUGGGCUGCCAGCGGCCAGCGCCGAGGAGAAAUCGGCGAGAAGGGCAGGUAAACCCCAGUCUCCCCUCUCAUUUUCCUUCUUCUCUCCUACAUACUCCCCUAGGUUUCUAUUGAAUAAAUGUCUUUGAAACCCUAGGUUUGUGAGAUGCAAUUUGACUGAAAUUGAGAGAGAGUGAAGAUGGUCCUCGGGAAUGACCACCAUGGACAUACCUGUGACCUUUCUUUGCGGCAAGGGCAUGAUAAGGACUCGCUGGUCAGGGAAGGCCAGGACGGGGAAGGCCAUCACGGUUUCGGCUUGUUGGAGAACCAUGAGUUGGUGCUCGCCGAGCCGCAUUCCCUUGUCGACGAUGAUAAUCUUGAUGAGCUCUCGCUGGAGCAAACCCAUGAAUUCGCCCUCCAGCCGGCCCAUGACUUGUCGCAGGGCCUUCUUGCCGUUGCCCCACGGAUGAUGGCCUUUAGCACAGAGUUUCAGCUCGUGGCCGGGCAGGAAUUUCCAAAUGUCAUGUACUGCCGCAGGGCCAUCCGCAACACUGCCAUUGCCUGCCACUUUGAGAUACAAAUGGUCAAGUCUGACAACACAAGCUUCACUGCUAAGUGUACCGCGGAGGGCUGCCCAUGGCAUAUUCAUGCAGCAAAGCUUCCUGGAGUGCCUACUUUCUCCAUCAGAACUAUACUUGACAACCAUAGUUGUGUGGGUAUAAACCAUCUUGGUCAUCAGCAGGCGUCUGUUCAGUUGGUUGCAAGUACUGUCGGAGAGAGGCUGCCUGAGAACCCACACUGCAAGCCCAAGGAAAUUUUGGAAGAAAUCCACAAGUCAAAUGAGAUCACACUACCGUACAAGCAAGAUUGGAUAGGGAAAGAGCGCAGCAUAGCAGCAGUUCGAGGGUCUUUUGAAGAAGGAUAUCGACUCCUGCCUGAGUACUGCAGGCAGGUAGAAAGAACAAACCCGGGAAGCAUCGGUCGUGUCUAUGGGAACCCGGAUGAUAACCGCUUCCGGCGACUCUUCAUAUCGUUCUAUGCAUCAAUAUACGGUUUUGUGAAUGCAUGCUGUCCGCUCAUUGGGCUUGAUAAAGUUACUCUGAAAAACAAGUAUGUUGGCACCUUGUUUAUUGCCACUGCUUUCGAUGGUGAUGGUGCUCUCUUUCCUCUGGCAUUUGGCGUGGUUGAUGAGGAAACUGAUGAGAACUGGAUAUGGUUUUUGUCUGAGCUGCAUGAGUUGCUGGAGAAGAACACAUUGAGCAUGCCAAGGCUCACCAUCUUGUCAGAUAGGAGCAAAGGUAUUAUUGAUGGAGUCGAUAUCAACUUCCCAGCUGCAUUCCAUGGUUACUGUAUGCACCAUCUCAGUGAAACUUUCCGAAAAGAGUUCAACAAUUCAGUGCCUGUCGACCUUCUAUGGGAAGCUGCCAAUGUGCUGACUGCGAUAGAUUUUGAAACUAAGCUUCUGGAGAUAGAGGACAUCUCACAAGAAGCUGUUUGUUGGAUAAAAGGCAUACGUCCUUGCCUUUGGGCCACAGCUUUCUUUGAUGGGACACGGUACGGUCACUUAACAGCAAAUGUCACAGAGUCUCUAAAUUCUUGGAUACUGGACGCAUCUAGCCUUCCCAUAAACCAGAUGAUGGAGUGCCUCCGGUGCCAGCUCAUGACGUGGUUCAAGGAACGUCAUGAAGCGAGCAUGCAGUGGACAGCUACUCUUGUGCCCACAGCUGAGCGCCGCUUGCAGGAGGCCAUUGAGCGGGCACGAGGCUACCAAGUUACCCGUGCUAACGAGACAGAAUUUGAGGUCAUCUCACCUCAUGAGGGGACAAAUGUCGUGGACGUCCGCAACAGGUGCUGCCUAUGCCGUGGGUGGCAGCUCUAUGGCGUACCCUGCGCCCACGGCGUGGCGGCGCUCGUCUCCUGCAGGCAAAACGUCCACCGCUACACAGAGAGGUACUUCACCAUCGGGACUUACCGCAAGACAUACUCACAGACCGUACACCCCAUCCCGGACAAGACCCUCUGGAACAAGAUGUCCAACCAAGGAGAGGCUGAGGAGAGCAAGCUGGAGGUGAUCAUCAACCCGCCCAAAUCGCGGAGGUCCCCCGGUAGGCCGAGGAAGAAGAGGGUCCAUGCAGAGGACCACGGGCAGGUCAAGCUAUUCGUGCACUGCAGCCGCUGCAGCCAGAUGGGCCAUUUCAGAACCACCUGUCCUGCUGCCCUAUGAACUCUGAAGCAAGCAGCUGCUGCAUUUUGCUGUGAAGAGAAGUUUAGAAAUCAGUGUCUACUGUGCAAACUUCCUGCUUCUAGAUUAGUGUUUCUUUUGUUAUACUAGAACAUAUACCGCUGUUGACUUAGCUGUGAUGAUUUAAUAGUGUUAUUUAACUUGUGUUUGCCCUGCUAAACCCCGGGAAAUAUAAGAGUAACUACGUGGCACCCCAGAAUCAAAUAUAGCGUGUUGUUGGUGCGACAGUGAUGUUGGUGUGCAAGCUGUGGUGAAACCUGAAGCGUUUGUCAAGCCGAUCUAGUCGAUUUGCCAAAUGUAUGCCUUUUCGUUGCAAAACAUACAAGAGGAAAUGUCAGAUGACAACCAUUAGUCAAUCAGAUUUAUCUACAUUAAAAUAGGAUUUAUAAACAAGUGUAGAGUUCUUAUGAAUUCUGACCUGCAGCAGCUUAAAACGCAUAGUAUAACAGAAUUCAACUGCCACAAAACUGAGCCUAAGUUGGCACAAAGUCCCGCUCCUUCGUUGCCGUCGAUUUUUUCAUAGACUAGCAAGUGUAAUACUAAACUAUUAAAUUUUUCAUCCAAGAUCCACCAUCUAGAUGGAAUUCUAAAUUAAUAAUACAAAGGCAUCAGCUUUUGACAAAAUUUUCUACAUACAAAUAAUCUGCCCAUCAUUUACAUGCUACAGCAAUGAUUAGUACAAGAUCUUCAAGGCAGAGUUCAUAUGGUAGCUGUCAGCUGAGCUUCAGCUACCUGUGGCUUCUGGGAGGAGUCUAAUCCGGGGAACUGACCAAUGUCAUGACCUUCUACUCGGUUUAAGCUGUCGUCCAAACCGAUCGCAAACUCCUCAGGUCUUUCUCCACAGCUCGCAAAGUAGUCAGCGACCUGUUUUAAGAUAUUCAAACCAAGAUCUUAGCACCAAACCAACUGAACUCAGAUAGCUGGAGCUAGUUUAUUAACUACAAAGCUUGAGAUGUUCUGCAGUUUGUAGAAUGAUGAAAGAAAGAUCAAAGGGUGGCAGAAUUUACAUGAUCUCCAAGAGAAAUUCCACUCAAUACCGCCGCUUCUAUACUGGAACCUGUGAGCCAGUCACCACAUAUGCCUGCUCGACCCUGGGGAUCAAAUAUGCAUGGUACUCCUGGAGUGUUCAUCGGUAAAGCUGCACCCCUGUAUUUGCAGGUAUGAAUUCAUCAUUGUCUAUUAUUGAAAUAUCAAAUAGUAACAGGUAUGAAAUGUUCAAUUUGUGUGUUUCUAUACCACAACUGCACUCUUGUGUAAAAUGGUAGCUGAAGAGAUCCUUUUGAGAGCCCCAAAGCAAGUUCAACUCCCCCAAGCAUUUCUCGUUGCACUUUCUCUGCGGUGGCAUUCGGGAUAUUUUCCUACAGUUCAAUGGUUAAAUGCGUUAAAGAAUUCCAUAAAAACUCUUGGAAACUCCAUCUUGGCAUAUGACCUCCCAAUUAACCAUAAUAGUGCAUGGUGCAACCAAAUGAUACAACAAAAGGUAUUGAAUCUCAUAAAAAUGCCCACCUGUGGAACUUUGUUUCUUCUUCCGUAAGAAGCGGUGCUAAAAAAUGUCCAGCACUCAGGUCUGUCUGUCUCAAAAGGGAAGAGUUUCCGAGUAUUGUUGGCCAUCCAAGAGAGAGAAUCAACACCUCUCACAAAUGCUCCUUCAAAUGUGCCAUAAGAAUUAUUAUGGGGGAUUGGAAAAGGACCUUCAAACGCUGCAAGUAGUGCCCAGACAGAACUCAGCUCUAGUCUCUGAACAUAGAGGGCACGAAAUUGGGUGAGGACUUGGAAGAAAAGGAUAUGUCUCAUGAGUUCAGAAUUCAGUUCGAUAGUAAACCUUCAUUUGCUUAGUCAGUUGGGGUAGACCUGAUGUCGAAAGCAGACGGUUGGCACAUUUCCCUGAUCAAUGGGUUAAAAAGGAUCAACUAGAGCCCAAAUAUAUAAUACUGUCUGACAAAAAGAAAUAUAGAAAUACAAUGUGCUUCUUGCAGGUAGGGAAAAAGUGAGUUCCAAAAAAUCCAAGGAUUAUAAUGCGUGAAACAAUCUUUGUCUGUUCCUGUCUAUGGUUCAUAGCACUUCACUACUUCCACAAAUUAUGCUACUCCCUCCGAUCCAUAUUAAUUGUCUCAAAUUUGCCCAAAUAUGGAUGUAUCUAUGUUUAAAAAGCGUCUAGAUACAUAUAAUAUUUCGACAACUAAUAUGGAUCGGAGGGAGUAUCUCUUUAGUGCUAUUUGGUAAACUUAUCUUACGACCGGUUCAUAGUUGUACACUGAUUCAUAAACUAAUACUCCCUCUGAUCCAUAUUAAUUGUCUCAAAUUUACCCAAAUAUGGAUGUAUCUAUGCCUAAAAAGCGUCUAGAUACAUGUAAUAUUUCGACAAUUAAUAUGGAUCGGAGGGAGUAGACGAAGAGAAAUAUGCCACAGUCAUCCAAGUUAGGUACAACUGUACAAGAAGGAAACUUUUACGGCGAUCUAUCAAUUGAAGUAAAAUCCAAUUUGUUUUCAGAAUUGACAUUUGAAUAAAUACACUUCACGUUUAUUUAGCUAAAUGAGGAUAUAAAUAAUCGUCGAUAUAUGGAAUAAGACUUUAUGUAACUUUAUAACAUGUUAGACUUGGGUUUACAAAAAGAAGUGUUGAGCUAUCACAAAUGGAGCAUAUUGGAAAACACUGAAGACUUACCUCCUAAACUAGUUAACUUAUAACAAACUAACCAAAAGGAAGUACUCCGUAGUAUUAAUGUUUGCACAUAAAAGAACUAAAUACUGGAAAGGAAAACUGCACUCACCAUUAUGUGCUAUUACAAUUGCAUCGUACUGACCCCGGGGCUUCUCAUUCUCAAACAAGCGCCAUAGACCGUUGAAUGGCUCCAGCUUGCUUAUCCAGGAAGGUCGUAUAACUUUAAUCAGGUCGUUCUACAUGGUUUUAUAUGCAACUCAGCAAUGAAAUGAAGAACCGACAAAUUCAGUGACUGACUGAUGGACUGAAACUCCAACAACCAGAUGAUGGUAAUAUUCAGUCACUACACUCUACUGUAGGAUAUGAUCAUGAAAUGGUGUAGUGAAUGAAGUCAUACAGUGAUACAGAUAUACUCCUUAGUUAAGUUGAUACAACGUGGAGAAUGCAUCCGACAGCUGUCGAUAAGAUAUACUCCAUCCGUCCCAUAUUAAGUAACUUUCUAUUACAUGUAUCUAGACGUAUUUUAGUAUAUAUAGAUUUUUGACAAAUUUUAGUCACUUAAUAUGGGACGUAUGGAGUACCUCAGGCAGCAUUGCAUCCGCAAGCGGGCGCAUUCCGUUCACGCCGAUGUACCUUGGCGUCGAGGAAUGGAUAGGUCUAAAAUGGCCACCAGCCUCGAGCUCGCCGAUUGAGCCCCUCCAUUCCCGGACCAGCCCUCUCUCGACCCACUCUUCGACCAGCUUCUGGAACCUCUCGUCGCUGGCAGUGAAGAACUGCGCCGCGUGAUCGAACACCAGCUGCCGCUCGUCGUCGACCGCCCUGGUCGCCAUCCUCCCACCUAAGCCGUGCAUCCCCUGCAUCAUCGCCGAGAAAGGGAGUGAUUCUCGCGCGCGUGGACGGGCGCGGAGCGAGGGAGGUGUUGGGUGGGGUGGGGGCGAGGGGGGACGAACCGUGUCGAAGACGACGGAGCGGACGCCGCGGGCGGCGAGGGCGGAGGCGCAGGCGAGGCCGGAGGCGCCGCCACCGAUGACGGCUACGGUGGGGUCGGGGGACACGGGGGUGGAGAAGACCACCUGCUCCUGCUGGAAGCUCUUCCUGAUGGCCGAUUGCCGCGAGAACCGAGGCUUACCGCGCGGGCGCGGCCUCGGAGGACGCGCUCCCCCGCCAUCUUUGGAGGCGAGCACCGCGGCGGAAAAGAGGGACGCGGUGCGCUUGGCAGUGGGGCGAGCGCAUGGGGCGUGCUGAAGGAGAAGAGACGGCGGCAUUGCGGCCUCACAGGUGCUCGACGAAAUGCGGAAGUGAGAGCGGGUAAGAAGACCGUUAUCUGUUUACGAGGUGGAACUUUUUUCUAUCCGGCUGGCGGCCGACGGAAAAUCGGCCGACUGCCCGCGCCUCUCCGAUCUCACUGACCUUCCUAUUAUUGCAACACGAGAAAUCCAUACAUACCAACCUUUACAAUAAUUUUCAAAACUUUCAAAAAUGUUACUCGUACUCCUUACAACAUUUCUUCUUCUUUUUGUACCGACUCGUACAACAUUUCAAGCAUGCAGUCCGUAUGAAACAUGUGCAUCGUAAAUACCCCACACACAACGUAUACAACAACGGAAAUAUAUUUACAACUAGUCAAAAGCGUUACUACGGAGAAUAAAUACGAAUAGCAUGAAGAAUCUUUCUUCUCUUUUUCCACUUUCAUUUCAUCCCUUGGUUUGAAUGUUGAUUUGCUUCACAAGACAUGCUACUCAGUUUGGUAUGUCGGUGCGCAUUUGGUGGAUGACAACCCGUUAAGCAAACUUAAAACAUGUGUCAAUAACAACAUUCAUAUGCAACAAGCAAUGGAAGUGAAAAUGCAAUGGGUUUUCAUUAAUUUCUCAACAAUUUUAUCAAGUAAUAGACAGUAGAAAAGGUUCUAAAAACAAGUAAAUGGUCAGAUCUCAGAUGAAUUGACUCAAAAGAAAAAUUUACUAAUCAUUACGUGCCGAUUAUUGGGUCACUGCAUGCACUUUAGAUCAAUGCGUUUAGAGAAUCUCUAGCAUGUCUCUAAACUCAUUCUCAAUCUCUAAAAGCUGUUACCGUUCUUAAAACUGCUCAAAAACAUGCUCCAAUUGGUUCCUGGUCCAUUCUCAAUUCCUAAAAACAAUCUAAGAAAAGCUUCGAGUGAAACCAACUACCGCUUUUGUACUUUUCAGGACUGAUCCAACUCGACCCGGCGCCGUCGGGACGCCGCCGCCGACCUCCUCCGGACACCACCCUGUCAUCCGCGUCCUAUCCGUCAUCCCCCAAGCCUCCCGACCCCAUCCCUUGCCCAGUAACAUCCUAUUGUUAACCGCACUAAUUUACAUAAGGUGCUGACCACAAUGCAGAGAUGCAAGUGUUUGAGCUAUGUGCAUGCCAAAGAAAUCAAAUGGCUUAUGUGCACUUGAUAAUUUUGUCAAAUGGAUUCACUGCAGAGGACUCAAGCAGACUAAAUCGUGAAUCGUAACUUAAUAGAUAGUACUCAAGUCACUUAUUUCAGGACAAGGGGAGUAACAAAUAUGAAAAUAAUCGAUAAUAACCUAUGAAACACAUUCCAAAACAUGUACUCUGGCAACAAGAGUCGAAUCAACCUAUGCAACGACCAAAAAUCUGAACAUUGUACACUUUUUACCAUUUAUGAUUUGACACCACUCUCGACGCAUUGGCCUGUCGGAGCUCCCCUAUCAUCAGGUUAGAUCAAAGCUUGGUUUUGAUACACCCUUAAGCCACCAUUUUUGCUUGGCUCAUUGGCAUGGUUAACGAUUGUUUCAAAUUGUACAUGGCCACAAGCUCCGCUUUCUCUCCACGGUGAAUUAAUUCUCCCCUAAGGAGCAUGGAUAACCAAAGGAGAUAGGAAUACAUGAGCUAGAGCUAGGAUGGAUAUCUUAAACAGGGUGGAUGGCGUCCCACUAAUAGAUUGCUAGUUGAUACAUAUGUACAUUUUUUUGUUUCAUCUAUUUUGUUGUUUGCUUGUCGUACCCAUCCUUUUAUGAUCCCUGAACCGUAAGACUUUGGAACUAAACGUUAAAAUAAAAGUUCUUAGGUGCAUCAAUUGAUGCAAAGGCCGAAGAUACCCUGUUUUCAUUUUCAAAGAACGAAUGAGCUGGAAGAGUAAAACCCCAAGAAGGUCAGGAUGUAAACGGCGCCCUUAGCGGCGCUGACGGGCUCGUCAGAUGUUCUUUCCUAGCACAAAUUUUGUUUUGUACGUCAGCUGCUUUGGUCUUUAUUAGGAAUAAACGGGCCUUAAACGGCUGCCCGUUUACAUCCUUACAAGAAGGACAAGGAUGGAGGAAGCGUGACAUCCUCACAUCCAUGAAGUAGUGGUCUAGCUCAGUCUACAAGUGUACUGGGACCAUUGACACUUUCACUCUCGUUUUAAUUUUUUCGAUCAUUUCAAUAUGACAGGGCGACCAUCACAGUUGCUCUCCAAAAAAAAACCGACCAUCAUGGUUCACAGGUUACAAGCGUUACCCAUCGUACUUUAAAAAAUGUCCAAACCUCUACUUGAACUACAAGCCGAAGUACGUGCAUACUCGCAGAAAUGACAUUUUAUCAUGAAUACCAUCACAUCGAUGCAAGAAGUGUUUGCCUUUUUGCGCAUAAGAAGUGUUCUUUGAAGCGUCGUUGUCGUUGAGAAAGCUUGGAUUUGGCAACUCUGUGUGAGCAUGAACAUGCAUUGUGGACAUUGCUGUCAAAAGUCAUACUUAUUUAUGCCUAACUAAACAGGAUGAAAUCCAUGUUUUUUUUAUCAAGUCCGAAGAAUAGAUCUCGCCUAAAUUUUAAACUGAAGAGAACAGAACAGAGGGGUAACUGAGGAACUGAAACUAAAAAAAAGGCUCCUAGAUCCUAAUUGUUGGAAAUCAAAUUGGUAGGUUUGUUUAAUUUAAAAUCAGCAUUUCAGGUUUGGACUGAAUUUCGUAUAUAAAGCAAUUUAUUUAUUUUACAUAAAUUUUAGUUAUAUUUGGAUUUCAUCAAAACAAAUUCCUCGUGGUCGUAUCAUUCUUCGCUAAACCUCCCUCUUGUCAAUCUUUGAUCCGUGACCAAUUUGGCAAGCUGAGCAAGAGAUAGCUGAAAGCUUAUUUUUCUUUUGAGAGUGUUAUUUCUCAGUCGACUAAAAAAAUAGUUAUUUCUCAUCUAUAAUCGUAGCUAUCUAAUCAAGAUCUUUUUAUUAAUCGGACAUAUAUUAAUCUUACACGAACUCGAUAAUUGAAUAAAAAAUUAUUAUCAUCAACUGGGAAAUAAGAAAUAGUCCGAAGAAAUACUCGUUUCUCAGUCCUAAGAAUUCUUAGGAAAAACCGUUUUCUUUUGCAAACGAGUACGCACGACAGCAGCAAACCGCUGGACGAACCACGAGAAGGAAUCUUGACUAUUGACUGCUGUGGCACCUGAAGCCACCGACUAGAUUCCCACGCACUAGUGCCCUACUCUACUGCACCGUGGAACCAAGAGCCCCUUUCCCUCUCUCUUUUGAUCAUUUCAACAAAGUGAAAUAUACAGUGGUAAAUAUCGCACGCACGCAUCGGCCUCCCCGAAAACGUCCAAAUUCCUUCUGCCCAAGGGAGAAAAAAGGGGUCUUGUUUGCUUUCUUUUCACCUCAUCUGCUUGUUCCCCUCCUCCAUGGACCUCAACGCAACACCAUGCUGCGGCUGCUGCACUGUUCUCUAGCUUUCCUUUCUGGAGCGCUUCUGUUUGUCGCCGUUCCUACUUCUAGGCGUGCGCCUUUCAAAAAUCUCCACUUCCCCCAACGAAGCAUUCCCCUCGUUCUGCUAUAAAACUCGUCCAAAAUUUUUCCAAAUCAAACGCAGUCGAUCGAUCGAACACAGCACACCCAAAAUGCCGCGUUUCCACCAUUGCUCGUCCAUGUUCCCCCUGCUGAUCCUCCUCUUCAAUCUUCCUACAUGGUCUGUGCAAGGAUUAGUCACCAAUGGGGGCCACCAAGACCUCUCUUUCCUCCUCUCCUUCAAGGCAUACAACCCAAACAACGCCAAGUCCCUGGCUACCUGGGUCGGCCCCAACCCGUGCUCCGGCUCAUGGGCCGGGCUCAGGUGCUCCAGGGGCAGAGUGGCAGGCGUCUUCCUUGACAACGCCGGACUCGCCGGCAGCGUGGCGCCUCUCCUCAGGCUCACCCAGCUCAGGGUGCUCGCCGUUAGAGGGAACUCCCUGUCCGGCCCUCUCCCUCCCCUCGACAACUCCACGAACCCGACCCUGAGGCACCUGCUGCUCUCCCACAACGACCUCACCGGACCCCUCAACCUCUCGCUGCCUUCUCUGGUCACUCUGAAAGCAGAGCACAACGGAUUCCAUGGCGGCCUGCGAGCGGUGCGCGUGCCGAUGGUCAGAAGGUUCAAUGUGUCCAUGAACAUGCUUGCCGGCGAGAUCCCCGGCUCGCUGUCGGGUUUCCCGAGCUCGUCUUUCGCCGGCAAUCUCGGUCUCUGCGGCACGCCUCUCCCGAGAUGUGUCCAUGCGUUCGAUGCACUGGAAGAUGUCGCUCAAUCUCCUAUUGCGGCAGCAGAUAUAAGUAAUGGAAGACUCAGUAAAUUCAGCUUGGCUGCGCUCUUGGCCACUGGCAUUGGCAACGCGGUGCUCAUCACGGCCUCGUUGGCCAUCUCGGUAGCCAUGUUCAUCUACAUGAGAAGAAAGCUGAGAUCCCAAACAAAGGACGAAGCGGCUUCUUCCAGAGCGGGCCUCUGUUUCGAAGACGAAGACAAGAUCAUCAUGAGGAAUACCAACGACGAAGAGAAGCCGUGCGCGCAGAAGAGCGGCGCGCUGGUGCGCUUCGAGGGCGGCGAGGAGCUGCGGCUGGAGAGCCUCCUGAAGGCCUCGGCGGAGGUGCUGGGGAAGGGCGUGUCCGGGAGCACCUACAAGGCGGUCCUCGAGGACGGCAUCGUGGCGGCCGUGAAGCGGCUCAGCGCGCUGCAGUUCCCCGCGGGAGGGCGCAGCGGCAGGGCCUUCGACCGGCACAUGCGGCUCGUGGGCGCGCUCCGGCACCGGCACGUCGUCAGCCUCAGGGGCUACUGCAGCUCCAACGGCGAGCGGCUCCUCGUCUAUGACCACCUCCCCAACGGCAGCCUACAGUCCCUUCUGCAGCUGCAAGGCAAUGGCGAGAGAAGGCUAGGCUGGGCGGCGAAGAAGAGCGUCCUGUUCGGCGCGGCGCAGGGGCUGAGCUACAUACACACGGCGGGGAUGGCGCACGGGAACGUGAAGCCGUCCAACAUCCUGCUGGACGAGCGUGGCGCCGCGUGCGUGUCCGAGUGCGGGCUCAUGAGCUACGCCGCGGCCGGCAUCGUCCAGCAGCAGCAGCAGCAGCAGCCCAGGUGCCCGCCCGAGCUGAUGUUCAACGGCAGAGAACGCGGCGGGGGAUGGCGCGGGUACGCGGCGCCGGAGCUGCAGGCGGCGCCGGGCGCGAGGGCGACGCAGGAGGCGGACGUGUACAGCUUCGGGAUGGUGCUCCUGGAGGUGGUGACGGCCGGCAAGGGCAGCGGCGAGGAAGAAGAGGGGGAAGGGGAGGAGACGAUGGGGAUGGUCAGGAUCGGCGUGCUGUGCACCGCCGAGGCGCCGGAGGAGAGGCCCCGGAUGGCGCAGGUGCUCGCCAUGAUGAGCGAGUUCAUGUGAAGCACUGCAAGUGUUUGAAGAACUGUCAUGGACCCAUGAACGGUAUUUCUCAUUUUUCUCCUCUUGCUUUGCAGCUGCAGCCUGCAGCAAGAGAUCGAGGCGAUGCUGCCAUGAAUGUAAGACUGGAGAAGUAGAGAACAAGUUUUAAGAGUUGGAUGUUGAUUUGUUGUAAUCUGAGUAGUUUAUGUCGCUAAUCAAAUGCAUUCAACCCGGCGACCGGCGCCGGUGCAGCCGAUCGAACUGUUCAUUUUUUUAUCUUCUCUGAGAAAGGCCAAUCGAAUCAUUCGCUCUGGGCCUCAACGAUGGUAAAGAGGAGACCGGCGGCCCAAAACAAUUCUGCCCAAGACCUGUCCAAUUUCGGCCUCGAUGGCCCAGUAUCAAAUAGCCCCGGCUUUAUGGGCUUGGUUUUUUUAAGGGAAAAGGAGGGACUGACAGCCGAUGGAAAAUACGAUAGGGGGUUACGCUGUAAGCACAGACGAACAGUCGCGGUCCAGUCCGGUAAAAUAACAUCCAUGGUUGCAUACCACGCUUUCAGUUACGCCGAGUUUCUCUAAGAAAAAAAAAAGGUUACGCAAAAGAGUUCGCAGCGGGCAACAUCGUGUCUCGAAGGUGUUUGCCUCGCAAGCAAUCACGCCAGUAAACCCUUGAUCAUUAAUUGAGGCCGACCGCGUCUCCCUCCUGCAAGCCUGGAACCGUGGCACGCUUGUUUGGCCACCUAUUAGAGACAUUAUCUCUUCUCUCGCAGAUGGUCCAAACUUCCUUUCUUGCGAAGGUUCAGAGAGCUGGCAAACAGUGUAGCGUAUGAACUAGGCCAGCCAGACAGUACGAAGUACAGGUCUCAACGACUACUGAGGUCGUGUGUGUGUCAUUCAUUGUGUGUUUAUAUAUCCAACCUCUUCUUCUAAUAAAAGCUUUCUGUUAUUUGUCGACCAAAAGAGGAACCAAAAUAGCAGUCCCCUGCAGAGCUACUACAGCCUACAGAUGCACUGAGUGUACCUUAGUGUGGUGAGACGAAAAGAGAGACUCUCUGUUCUUCUACUUUUUGACCGUAAACACACGUCCGAUGCGAUGAGAUAGAUGAGCUAAAGAAUGCUUCGGUUCUCUUUUUACCGUUGCCAUGAUACAGUUGGUAUGGGUGCCCUACCAUGACAACUCAUAUGUGGACCAGUGCUUAACAGCAGCACAUGGCCGCAACAUGCUUCAAUUAUUUCAACCUUUGGAAUUGGAUACCCUCACCGAAUUGACAACCCGGCAUCUCCAAACAAACCUCAAAGUACAGAGCAUCGCUCAGAAAGAAAAAAAUCCCCCCAGGAAAAGAAAAGCUUAUUCUGCAGUUUUGCCUAGCCACUUGCAAUGCUCGAUUGGCUGAUGGAUUCUUUAGUUUUACAAAGCCAUUUGCAAUGCUCGGUUGGCUGAUGAUCGAAGAUCUUAAGUCAUAGGGACAUAUUCCUCUUUUUUUUUAGGGAAAGAAGACAUAUUCCCGUUUCCUUAGCGUGUUCUUUGUUUACUGACAGAAGGCAUGAGGUUCCCCUUUUGAACCAUCAAAAGCUUUGUUUCAACUGACGGCUAGAAAAUGCGUUGUGUAUAUAUGUCAAAUGUUCAGAUGAUAAGUUGGCGGCUGGACAGAGUUCUGAAUUUCACAGCACAAAAUUUCCUCAAAACGCAUUACUGCAAGACAGUAGCAUCAAGGCUGUUGUUGAUUUAGAAGCUGAAGAAUUAAGAAUGAAUCAAUCAAAUAAAUGGUCUCAUUCAUAGCAAGAACAAGGGUAAGUACAUGAUCGAUCACCACCACCACAAAGAAUGGCACGCCGGCGCACGCACUACGUCACACACACACACACUCACGCACACCUCCCCCCCCGGAGCAGGACACCGCCGCGACCCAUACAUACACGCACGCCCACACGCCCAAACACACACCUCCACACGACACCAAGGAGCAAACCAAGAGACAACCAGGAACCGCGGAACCGCACGCGACGGAGCCACAGAUCUAGCAGAAGAGGUAUCCGAAGGCGGCGGCGGCGAAGGAGGCCGCGGCGAGGGGCAGCGCGGCGGCGGCGGCGUCGGAGGCGGGCGCCGGUGCCGGGGCCUCGGCGGCGGCCGCGGAGGCGACGAGCGCGGCGGCCAUGGCGGCGGCGGCGACGAACUUCAUCCUGAGACCGGCCAUGGGUGGUGGUAGUAGUGCUCUCGUCGGCGUCGGAGGAGAGAUCUCUCUAGGAGCGUGGGAGCUGGCUAGAGAGAUGCUCUGCGCGCGGAGACGGAGGAGCUAGCUAGGCGGCUUUGUGGAUGGAGGUGGGAGGGAGAGGAGCGCAGUGGGGGAGGGUUAUAUAGCGAGCGAGGCCAGGUAGGUCGCGUAGGAAGGAGAAGAGUACGGCUGGCCGUUUGUUCGUUCGCGUUUGGUUAGGCUGGCGCUGCGGUUGGGGCGGCCGGGAUCCACUCUGGCUGACCAAGCUUCAAGUUUGAGCGCGUCUCCGGGCGGGCACGCGCGUCGGGUUGUUCGGCACUACUGCUAGCUCGUUCGUCCAUCAAUAAACGUGCGCGCUGCGCUUGCUUCCUUGGUC